rnacentral:rRNA from 1 species
AGUUGUGCACACUACCUUGGCCAUGUCUGAUUUUGGAAGCUAAGCAGGGUCAGACGUGGUUUGUACUUGGAAGAGAGAUCAUCAGGAAAUACUAGGGAUUUCCAAGUA